AGUGAACGCUGGCGGUAGGCCUAACACAUGCAAGUCGAACGGAAGCACAGUAAGAGCUUGCUCUUACGGGUGGCGAGUGGCGGACGGGUGAGGAAUACAUCGGAAUCUACUUUUUCGUGGGGGAUAACGUAGGGAAACUUACGCUAAUACAGCAUACGACCUACGGGUGAAAGCAGGGGAUCUUCGGACCUUGCGCGAUUGAAUGAGCCGAUGUCGGAUUAGCUAGUUGGCGGGGUAAAGGCACACCAAGGCGACGAUCCGUAGCUGGUCUGAGAGGAUGAUCAGCCACACUGGAACUGAGACACGGUCCAGACUCCUACGGGAGGCAGCAGUGGGGAAUAUUGGACAAUGGGCGCAAGCCUGAUCCAGCCAUACCGCGUGGGUGAAGAAGGCCUUCGGGUUGUAAAGCCCUUUUGUUGGGAAAGAAAAGCAGCAGGUUAAUACCCCGCUGUUCUGACGGUACCCAAAGAAUAAGCACCGGCUAACUUCGUG
rnacentral:rRNA from 1 species